AUUUCAGGACGAGCUAGCAAAUCAUGAACGUGGAGAGCUGGUGUAUGGUAGAAUGCAACUCUAACCAACAGUGGACAAGAGCAGAAAGGAAGCACGUCAAGGAUCCAUUCAAGAGCAGUGCAUUCAACUUUACAAAAGAGUCAGUCUUUGAAGACAGAGUAGCAUCGAUGAAUUUUUCUGGACCAAAAGACUUGGACAUGUACAAGAAAAGAAAACACUUUCCACAGAAAUAUUAUACAAAUUUAAAAUGAUUCUCAUGAUUGAUGAGACUCCCAUUCAUUCCCUGGACAUUCUCUCAGUAACUCUUCUUCACCUACAAGAGAGUACACAAUAAAAUGCACAACAUUAGUACACUACUUACUAGCAUACUCUGAACCACAGUAGAGGCAAUAGAAAUAAUGGCUACGAAGAUAAUUUAUUAAUACUUGCAA